GACGAACGCUGGCGGCGUGCUUAACACAUGCAAGUCGAGCGGAGCGGCGAACGGGUGAGUAACGCGGGAGUAACUGCCCCCCUCUCUGGGAUAACAGUUGGACACGGCUGCUCAUACCGGAUAUUGGGGGAUGACUCGCGUACUAUCAGCUUGUUGGUGGGGUGGUGGACUACCAAGGCGACGACGGGUAGCCGGCAGGAGAGGGAGACCGGCAACAUUGGGCUGAGAGACGGCCCAAACUCCUACGGGAGGCAGCAGUCGGGAAUAUUGCACAAUGGGGGAAACCCUGAUGCAGCAACGCCGCGUGCGGGAUGACGUCCUUCGGGUUGUAAACCGCUUUCAGCCAUGACGCGGUAGUGGCAGAAGAAGCACCGGCUAACUACGUGCCAGCAGCCGCGGUAAUUC
rnacentral:rRNA from 1 species